AAUCAGAGAAGAAUUUUUUUUUUUAAAGGUGUGAGAGGAAGAGAGAAAUGUUCUCUCUUGUGCAUGAGAAAAUUGAGAAGAAAGGGUUCUUCUCUUGAUCUCUAUUAUAGAGAUUAGAUGCAUAGAUCCAAGAAAAAAAGGAGAGGAUCUUCUUAUUCUUCAUCUUCAUCAUGUUCCUCUUAGAUCAGUCAAAAGAUGGUGUCUUCAUGAGCUAGCACUCCC
rnacentral:lncRNA from 1 species